UGGGCUAUGGUGUAAUUGGUAACACGCGGGUUUCUGGUUCCCGUAUUUUAGGUUCGAGUCCUGGUAGCCCAG
rnacentral:tRNA from 1 species